CCUUGUACACACCGCCCGUCACACCAUGGGGGUGGGUUUCACCAGAAGUAGGUAGCCUAACCGCAAGGAGGGCGCUUACCACGGUGAGAUUCAUGACUGGGGUG
rnacentral:rRNA from 1 species